CGGCGCCCUUUUGAUUUUUAAGGUUGUAGCUAUUGGCUGUUGGAUUUGGUGGGCGGGCUGUUUCAGGUGUGUGAAUGGCUACAAAGCAUGUGCGUGAACAGGUGGUAAGAUUUUGGCCGCGUGAUGGGAGCUACGCUGAAGACUGAAGCCAACUCUUUCUGUUUCUUUUAUCUCUAAAAUGAACUCAUGUCAAGCCGAGGAAUCACCAAAGAAGCUGGAACAGUCGACGGCCAUGGAUGUAUUAUGUCUACAGCUAAGAAAAGACCGAGAGCGACAGGUUCACGUCGAGCCGGAAGUGGAGACAUGGCUUAUUAAUCAUAAGCCAAAGAAGAGGCGGAGAGCUGGUGAUACACACAGCAGGACGGAGCUGACUGCAGGCCGUGGGAGCGGACCUGGCUGCGAUGCAGGAUGCAGCUUUCUCUUCAAGGGCCUAUUCCAACCACAGCAGAUGGGUGGAAACCUCUCUUCGGAAUGAAAACAGCUCUCAGCUUUCCCCUUUUGCUCGCCAUUAAAAUCCCCCCAAAAAAACAACUAUUCCUGCACUGCCAGGGGAAGAAAAUCCAUAUUUGAUGGUGUUUUCAUACCGACGGUCUCACUCCGCCUUCAGACCACACUGCUGUGACAUCUGUCCCUUUGUUGUUCCAAAAUGACGGCCAAGAACAAGAUGACAAAACGUUCUGAGAGUUGCUUGCUUUCCAAGCAGUUUCAUCUUAAACAGAGAGGCACCUGGAUUUUAUCCUGAGCAACGUGCAAAGGAAAGCGCUUCAUUAGGAUGCACAACUGAAACCCUGCAGGAUCAAGGUGAUUUGAAUGUAAAACAACUAGCUACCGGUCCGACUACUUCUCUCUACUGUUUCUACUCUGCCCUAAAGCAAGGUCUCCCCAGCCACACCUAUUGCCAAAAAAAAAAAAAAAAAGCCACUGCAACAUCAGUUAAGGAGGGCGGGGAUGUGAUGGAGCACAAAACCAAUAGCCAACAAUACUUCGAACAGACUUACCGCAUGCACCAUGUGUUACAAUCCACCACAGUGUGUCAUUUGAGUUCAGCCAGGGCUCUGUGCUUUUUACCAAGUACUGGAAUAAUUAACACGCUUAUCUCUGGCACACAAAACAGCACCUUGCACCUCUAUUGUGAGUUUGUUACCCAGUGUUUAUGAUGCAAAGUCUUAAUGGCUCGAAUGAUGUCUAUGAGUGAGGGCCAACGCUGAAGAGCAAUGCUUGUUAGAGAAGGAAAACAGGCAAAUGUCAAGGACUUCACUCUCAUUCAGAGCACUGAAAUACAUAAGGAGAGAGUGUGUGAGAGAACCAGGAAUAGAUUUCAAUAUGUUUAAGGUAGCCCCUGAACACAGCAGGACAUUUCUGACUCCCAUUUAGAAAGAUGUGGGAAAUUGAAACUGGUAAUUCCAAUCCAUUCUUAUCCCCAUUGUGCCAGCCUUAAUAAGGUCAAAACAUGGUUCUGCUGCUGUAAAUGACUGAAUUUAAGACCAUUCUAAGACAAUUGUGAGGGAUUUGCAUAUAAAAAGAUGUGUGAUUGUGGAAAAGACCUUGGCCUAUAUUCUGUAAUUACUACAACUCCAUCUGUCUCUCAGUCCUGCCUUUUAAAUAAUACUCAACCGUUCUUCUCCAACUAUCUUUUGGAUUCCAUAGUAAAUCCUCUUGUCCUCUACAACCCAUUACAUGAGACAACAUCUGGUGCCAGCCUGUGUCUCAUCAAUUCACUCAUGAAUGAAACUAGGCUGCUUUCAAGGAAUGGUUGAAAACAUAGAAAUCCUUUCUUUAAAAAAAUUGGAUGAAUGUAUGGAAAUGGAGGCUUUUCCUGAUCUGUAACUGGAGCCCAACAAGAUCACAAUGGCACCCCACAAUUAGCCUAAUCACCCUGCCGGUGGUAAGACUGGUUCUGCACUUGCAAUAUCACAGACCACAGCAUGCAUUAACAUCACAGGGCAGAAUUAAUCCUAACAGGUUGCAGCAAUUACCUGAGCCCUGACUGUUCCUAAAAGUCAUCCUGAGCCGUGACAGACGCAUGAGCACAGAUAACAUUUGCCAGAACACAGACACGGCAGAUAGUACAAGCACCAAGCUUAGAUGUGACUGUGACAGUAGCCUGUCUCAUUAAAGCAGGGGACGAGAAGGCCGGCUCUAGUGGAGCUGAGGAGCAGGAGGUGAGUGGUGUGACAAAGCCAAAGACAGGAGGCUUGGAAAAUGGAAAAAGAUGAUUGUUGUUCCUUUUCCUCAUCACAUCCCCCACCGGGUGUUUUAAUUUCACCCAGCAGCCCGAGCAGAAAUUGUCAUUUGGACUCAUCUUUAAACCUGCAUACUUUGUAGG